UACCUGGCUGGCUCAAUGUCCCCAUAACAAAAAAUGGCAAAAAUACAAAAAACUAAAAUAUUAUUAACUUAAUAAAAUAAUCCACUACAUAAUCAUUCAUUAUCUUUACAAUUAACCAUCUAAAGCUACCACAGUUCUUCAAUCAAAGUAUAUAUCUACAUAUAUAAAGAGAGUACACUUCAUAAUUUCGUCUCUUGUCUUCCGUAAA
rnacentral:lncRNA from 1 species